UGGAGUAACAAGUACAAAAUGAAUUAAGUGAAAUAAUUGAAGAAUAAUGUGAAAAUGGGCACGGUGUGCAGGUUAAAAAUCGACUUCUGAGAAAUAUGCCCAGAGAAAGAGCGUGCAUUGUUUUCGAAAUACGAUAGGAAGAUUAAAAACCAUCUCAUCAGGCAACAGCUUACCGAAGCACAGUCGGCAAUAAAUGAAGAUGCCCAGGAAUCUAUUUGUUAUUUU